rnacentral:rRNA from 1 species
GGACCCGCACAAGCAGCGGAGCAUGUGGUUUAAUUCGAAGCAACGCGAAGAACCUUACCAGGGCUUGACAUGCCCCUGACCGAUACAGAGAUGUAUCUUUGCCCUUCGGGGUACAGGGGACACAGGUGGUGCAUGGUUGUCGUCAGCUCGUGUCGUGAGAUGUUGGGUUAAGUCCCGCAACGAGCGCAACCCCUGCUUCUAGUUGCCAUCAUUAAGUUGGGCACUCUAGAGGGACUGCCGAUGAUAAAUCGGAGGAAGGUGGGGAUGACGUCAAAUCAUCAUGCCCUUUAUGUCCUGGGCUACACACGUGCUACAAUGGUCGGUACAACGAGGAGCGACACAGCGAUGUGAAGCAAAUCUCUAAAAGCCGAUCCCAGUUCGGAUUGCAGGCUGCAACUCGCCUGCAUGAAGUCGGAGUUGCUAGUAAUCGCGAAUCAGAAUGUCGCGGUGAAUGCGUUCCCGGGUCUU